AGAGUUUGAUCCUGGCUCAGGAUGAACGCUGACAGAAUGCUUAACACAUGCAAGUCUUUGGCGAAGCUGUGCUUGCACAGCCUAGCCAAGGCGGACGGGUGAGUAACGCGUAAGGAACUUGCCCUGCAGUCAGGGAUAACAGACGGAAACGACUGAUAAGACCUGGUAAAGUCAGGCGGACUCAUGUCCAGCCUGAUGAAAAGAGAUGCUGCAGGAGAGCCUUGCGUCCUAUUAGCUUGUUGGUGGGGUAACGGCCCACCAAGGCGAUGAUAGGUAGCCGGCCUGAGAGGGUGGACGGCCACAAGGGGACUGAGAUACGGCCCUUACUCCUACGGGAGGCAGCAGUGGGGAAUAUUGGACAAUGGGGGCAACCCUGAUCCAGCAAUUCUGUGUGCACGAAGAAGGUUUUCGGAUUGUAAAGUGCUUUCAGCAGGGAAGAAAAAAAUGACGGUACCUGCAGAAGAAGCGACGGCUAAAUACGUGCCAGCAGCCGCGGUAAUACGUAUGUCGCAAGCGUUAUCCGGAAUUAUUGGGCAUAAAGGGCAUCUAGGCGGCCAGAUAAGUCUGGGGUGAAAACUUGCGGCUCAACCGCAAGCCUGCCCUGGAAACUAUGUGGCUAGAGUACUGGAGAGGUGGACGGAACUGCACGAGUAGAGGUGAAAUUCGUAGAUAUGUGCAGGAAUGCCGAUGAUGAAGAUAGUUCACUGGACGGUAACUGACGCUGAAGUGCGAAAGCUAGGGGAGCAAACAGGAUUAGAUACCCUGGUAGUCCUAGCUGUAAACGAUGAUUACUGGGUGUGGGCAUGAAGAGUGUCCGUGCCGAAGCUAAUGCGAUAAGUAAUCCGCCUGGGGAGUACGGCCGCAAGGCUGAAACUCAAAGGAAUUGACGGGGACCCGCACAAGCGGUGGA
rnacentral:rRNA from 1 species